rnacentral:rRNA from 1 species
AGUGGGGAAUUUUGGACAAUGGGCGCAAGCCUGAUCCAGCAAUGCCGCGUGAGUGAAGAAGGCCUUCGGGUUGUAAAGCUCUUUUGUCAGGGAAGAAACGGCUCUAGCUAAUAUCUGGAGCUAAUGACGGUACCUGAAGAAUAAGCACCGGCUAACUACGUGCCAGCAGCCGCGGUAAUACGUAGGGUGCAAGCGUUAAUCGGAAUUACUGGGCGUAAAGCGUGCGCAGGCGGUUUUGUAAGUCUGUCGUGAAAGCCCCGGGCUCAACCUGGGAAUUGCGAUGGAGACUGCAAGGCUUGAAUCUGGCAGAGGGGGGUAGAAUUCCACGUGUAGCAGUGAAAUGCGUAGAGAUGUGGAGGAACACCGAUGGCGAAGGCAGCCCCCUGGGUCAAGAUUGACGCUCAUGCACGAAAGCGUGGGGAGCAAA